GAUGAAGGGGGCUAGCGUUGUUCGGAAUUACUGGGCGUAAAGCGCGUGUAGGCGGUUGUUCAAGUCAGGUGUGAAAGCCUUGAGCUCAACUCAAGAAAUGCACUUGAUACUGGAUGACUAGAGGACCGGAGAGGAUAGUGGAAUUCCCAGUGUAGUGGUGAAAUACGUAGAGAUUGGGAAGAACACCAGUGGCGAAGGCGGCUAUCUGGACGGUUUCUGACGCUAAGACGCGAAAGCGUGGGGAGCAAACAGG
rnacentral:rRNA from 1 species